rnacentral:rRNA from 1 species
GUGGGGAAUCUUGCGCAAUGGGCGAAAGCCUGACGCAGCCAUGCCGCGUGAAUGAUGAAGGUCUUAGGAUUGUAAAAUUCUUUUACCAGGGACGAUAAUGACGGUACCUGGAGAAAAAGCCCCGGCUAACUUCGUGCCAGCAGCCGCGGUAAUACGAAGGGGGCUAGCGUUGCUCGGAAUUACUGGGCGUAAAGGGAGCGUAGGCGGGUUGACAAGUUGGGGGUGAAAGCCCGGAGCUCAACUCCGGAAUUGCCCUCAAAACUGUCAGCCUUGAGUAUGGAAGAGGUAAGUGGAACUCCGAGUGUAGAGGUGAAAUUCGUAGAUAUUCGGAAGAACACCAGUGGCGAAGGCGACUUACUGGUCCAUGACUGACGCUGAGGCUCGAAAGCGUGGGGAGCAAACAGGAUUAGAUACCCUAGUAGUCC